AGUGAGAUCAAGUGGGGACUCUUUUUGUUAUAGACUUACUCCGAUGUAUGUCGUUACGUAAUCACAUCAUAGGAGAAAAAAAACACUGAACACUGCCGCCUCGUUGUCAGUAAUACCUUUGUUAUUGUUUUCAUUUGAUAAUGGAAGGCACAAAAUAUGUCACAAUCUCGAAAUAUCCAUCUAAAAACAAAGUUUUAUACUUAAUUUACCAAAUUUUAUGGAAAAUAUCGUAUUGGCUUUCCGAAAUCAGCCGAUGGAAAUGGAUGCUUUUUCACACUUGAUACUUUGCUAGGAUGACAAAAUGGCGGCUGCCAGAGGCUGUUCAACAGAAUGAAGACAUCCAGCUAAUACGUACUAACUCUAAACAUUUUGACCUGUUACAAAAACAAGUGUAAACAAGUUUAAACACUCGCCUUCAUCCACACUGAGUGUCGGUUACGCAAUGCCUCGCUUGUUCGUCAAAUUAAAACGAAGGAUAUUGAACAAAUAUCAUUGUAGGAUGUGGGAUUAUAUUUUGUAUUCAAUCAAACUUAUAAUGCAAGAAAAGGAAACAAGACAAUCUUUCUUAGUAUAUAACGCAGGGGAGACCGCCUUCCAGACCUAAGAUAAUGGUUUUUAUGGCAGCUGGUUCCAUUAACAACAACAAUCAGUAAGAUAAUUGAUAAACACAAUCGCCUUGAGCGACAUAACACGCACUGCUCUUAAAAACCCCCGCUAGUAUAGUUACAGAAAGCGCACCACAGGACUGGAAAGAUGGAGUUUAAUUCCAAACAGAUUCAUAUUCCCUAGAAAAUGAGGCGAUUGUAGGACAAGGUUCUCCCAAAGGAUCAUCUAACGUUCUCACCAGCAUCGGAACGACUGUGCUUGCGGUGAAACAACUGUUUAAUAGAUCCAGGGCUUGUGUUCCUCUGAGGUGAGGACUCUACUAUUUCACUACAAAACAAGAGAAAUGUACUGAUAUUUUAAAAGCCUCUUUAUCCCCCUCUUCCUUAGAGUUGUUAAAUACGAAAGCAAGUAUUAAAUAAAACACCUCGAGUUACGAAAAUUUUGCAAUAUCUCUGCCUUUCGCCCUUACUUAAAAAAAGGCUAAUAUUAUCCAAAAUUCUAAAUAGUGCACAAACUAAUUUUCCAUAUAUAGAAAUGAGGAAUAUUCAAUGGAAUGACGUCACUUACGAGUCAGCUCCAGAGGCCGCGUCACUAUCGCCUAACAAGGCUUUUAGAUCGACGAUGUUCAUCUGUGCCGUGACUUGUCCAGUACGAUCUCCAACCUACAACGAUAGAGGCAUAUUACAGGAGGCCAAUCACGCCGCCAUUUAUGCUCCCGCUUAAUAGCGAGUCACACAAAAGCAUCCAUUUGCAUCGGCUUAUUCAAGCGAGUAACCAAGAUAUUUUCAAUCACAUAUCGUCAAUAACAUAUCAAACUUCAUUCGUAGAGUUUUAUUUUGAAGUUUCCUUGCGAAUAAACCGUUGUAUUUGCAAUAAGCUAUAACAAAAGGAGUUGGGGAUAUUCUUUAACGAGGCCGUAUGACACAAGACCCGUACAAACAGUAUUGAUGAUCACGUCGCCUCGCUAUGCUGGUCAAAAGGCAAAUGAUAUUUGGGCGAGCUCACUUCACAGGGAAUUUAAGCAACUUUGACGGUGACCGGAAGGGAGAAAGUGAACCUCCAAAAAGCUUUCAUGCUCUGCGCUCAAUUCUGGUAUACCGUGUCGGUGUUUUACAAAUUCGAGUAAGAGGUGUGAAAUGGGGUUUGUUCAUUGAAUGAGAUUAAACUUGCAAAAUUUGGUAACUUGGAAAAAGACU